rnacentral:rRNA from 1 species
ACGUAGGGUGCGAGCGUUAAUCGGAAUUACUGGGCGUAAAGCGUGCGCAGGCGGUUAUAUAAGUCAGAUGUGAAAUCCCCGGGCACAACCUGGGAACUGCAUUUGAGACUGUAUGACUAGAGUGUGGCAGAGGGGGGUGGAAUUCCACGUGUAGCGGUGAAAUGCGUAGAGAUGUGGAUGAACACCGACGGCGACGGCAGCCCCCUGGGCCAAUACUGACGCACAUGCACGUAAGCGUGGGGAGCAACCAU